CUGGUGCGCAUUCUUCACUCCUGAUAGCAAGAGCGAACUUUGAAACGUUGACCGUUUGGGCGGUGGUUGGGUGCUCACAGUCAGCAGCCUCAGACAAUGGGAGGAAAUGAUGACGUCAAACAGCGCGGUGUCUGGUAGACCAGUGCUUCAUUCUCGCAGGGGAAGCUAGGGCAACGGUUGUGGUGUAGGUGCACACCAGUCUGGAUUUCGCUUUAAUGCAAGAUUUCCAUAAACAGUGACGUCAUAAUUGGUUACUAUAUUUAAUGAAUAACAGAGGGGGAUUUGCGAAGCUCUCCUCUCUGGACGACCUUUGGAACGGUUGACGUCACGACCAAUGACAGUGCAGAGCUCCUGAUGCCCUGGCGGAGAAAUCAACGGACGCUUCAUUGCUUCGGGAGGAUCUCUGAGUGGCGGUCAUGUUGCUGGUGCUCUCCUCGCCACGGAUUUCGUGACGAGCGACUGUUUUUGACUGAGUGAUGUGUGUGGAAAUACUUCGGUGCCGAAAUGCUGCGCGCUGCCAGCAAUCCCAAGCGAUGGCCGGUUCGUCCUGUUUGGCUUGAACAGAAGAAGGAAAGCGAGUACUUCACAGCGAUGAGAAAACUGAGGGAGUCUCGUGACACGAACUACUUCACAAAGAACUGUCUUAUGUUACCAGAUAUCUUCGACCGGCUGCACAGACUUGUCGUUGACAGACGUUGACGAAAGAGUAUCUGUGCCGAGAACCAAUCUCCUUGGGUGAGCGACUCGAGCUCACACUGAGAUACUUGUCGUCAGCGAUGGAACUGAAGGACGUCGCAAUGGCUCACCGUAUGGGCCUGGAAACAGCACGUGAUGCAAACCUACUAACCUGUACAGCAUUGUGGGAAAUCUUCGAAGACAGGUACAUGAAGUUGAAACAUGCACAUCACGUUGCAAGUAAUGCGUCCAUGUGUGUUCCAACCACCCACAACUGGCGAGAGAUUGCUGCCGGCUUCAUGGAAAGUUUUCCAACCGCUUGGGAGCUGUAGAUGGCAAACACGUUAAAAUAACUGCAUCAAAGGGAUCUGGGACUACUUACUUCAACUACAAGGGCACGUACUCUAUUGUUCUUUGGCUGUCGUGGACUCGACAUAUCGGUCCAGACUAGUUGACGUAGGUGAUGGAGGUAGGCUAAGCGACUCAGGUGUCUUCAAGAACUCCCCGAUUGGGUUUCACCUCGAGGCUGGGACACUUGGAGUACCUGGGCUGGCACGGAUACCAGGGACAGAAUUGGUCGCUCCCCAUAUAUGUCUUCAUGGCAGAUGAAGCAUUACAGCCACGCGCUGAUUUUCUGUCCAUAUCCAGGCAUCAGUAGACAAGAGAGUAUACAACUAUAGGCUAAGCCGUGCCAGGAACUGCGUGGAAAACUCCUUCGGUAUUCUGUCAGCACGCAGGAGCACCCUACUUCAUACCAUCAACUUUGCACCGAAGAAUGUGGACCUGAUUGUCAAGACAGCCUGCAUUCUUCACAACCUAUUGCUAGACCACGGAGAUGGCUCGGCUGACUAUGGUGACAGAUAGGACGCAUUCGGCAAUAUUACUGAGGGACGACGGUGGCAUGAAGAACCAGGCGACAGCGUUCUACAGUCUACCCAGAGCACCCAUGCUCGGAACCACAGCAGGGAGCCAGCAGCAUCUCGAGAGGUUUUUACUUGGUACUUUAACAGUGCUGAGGGUGCGUUGACAUGGCAGUGGGCGAGAGUACAGCCUCCAGUGCCUUUAGUGGCCAUCAGUUGCCUUUAGUAGCCUCCAGUGCCUUUAGUGGCCUUUAGUGCCAUAGGAAGCGGCUUUUUCAAGUUAAAUGUGAUUUUGCCCGAUUUCUCCCUGAAUUCCAGGCUGUAUCUGUCGUCGAUUGCCCUUUCCAUUGAAGGCCCACAAACAUUGCCAUCUGAUAUUUCAGGAAAACACUGGUGUAUUGACACUAUCUAUUGAUCCGCAGAUUAGCACAUUUAGGUUGUUCACCAAAAGGUGCGAAGCACAGGGAGUCUUUUACAAGCAUUGUGUGACACUACAGGUCGCGGAAACAUGUUCAACAAAUUUAUGGGCCUUGGCAGCUAGCGGUAAUUUGACAGAAUUCCCGCGUGACGUGGAGAAGGCUCCGUGCCUUGUUUCUUCGUUUUUUCUGAGCAGCUCACACGCCGCUUUUACAUGCUUGAGCUGUUCCGCUCUAAGUCACUGGUCACGUGAGGGGAGGGCUACGACGUCGCCUCGUUCUACGGUGCGCUUUUUUCACAAAGAAAAUUAGUUUUCAAAGGUGUGUGGAAUACAGCCCUCAUGCUCGCUCUGUAGGUCACCUGCGCUCAUCGUUCUUUCGCACGAACUCAUUUUAUUAGUUGGAGCACACUCCGCAUCGAAAAACGGUAAAACAAAAUUGGGGGUCACCUCAAUGCUCCUUUAAGCAAAGUUUACUGUGUGUAGCACCUGAUUCCCCCUCGAAUCUGUCAAAGGCAUUUCAGCUGAAAAAGCAGCUCCCUGUGUAUAGAGUCGAGGUUUAUGAGGUUUUUGAGCAUGAGGUUUAUAUGUCUUCAGACUCUUGCGUGCUAGCUUCGCUAAAUACUUUAGGAGUUACAAACAUUUAUACUGCGUGUACAUUUUGCUUAAUCAUCUUUCUCAACAUGACAUUUCAUUUUUGACACGGGUUGUUAAUAGUUUUAUUUUGUUUGUGACUGAAAACCCACAUAGUUUGGGUAUGUGCUGUGCAUUUUAUGUUUCUACAUUUUCUCAUUCAACCUGCAUUUGUUAAUGAACUGAUGUGUCAUGCGCUGGUUAUCACCAAGGAGUUGAGAGGUUAAUAGAAAGAUAAACCGGCAGAUAUUUUUGAAGCCACCCUGGAUUGUGCCAUGUUGGCCUCAUCUUCCCUUGUUUGCAAAUGGCGGACAUUAGGGACUCGUGGUGACGUCUUUGCACGUGUACGCUUCAAAAUUCCAUAGCAAUUAUACAUUCCAUAAAACCGCCAGCAAUUUUUCCCAAGCGUACUGCAGAUAUACUGAUAGUCACAUAAGGAAACCUCACAGCCUGUGCCAGUGGGAGGGGGGAAUAUACAUUCCCUCCCCCCAUGUGUGCCAGUGCUACACAUAUAUUGCUCACAAAUAUUGUGUGUGUUCAUAGCCCUGUUACUUGGCUCUUCACAAUGCAUGAUGAGAACUGUGCUUUUUUGUUGUUGUUGUUACACAAUACUGGUUCCAGUGAAUAAGGUUUUCAUCACAUCUUGUGACCAUUGUUGCCUUGAAAUCAAAAAUAAAAUCUUAGCAUUUGAAUUAAAGUUGUUUGAGAGAGACCAGUGAGAUGUGGUUUAUUGCACCAAGAAAUAAAUUG